ACUCUGCUGGAGUUUUGUAAGUGAGCCCAGGAUAUGGACUGAAAGCCAAAUUAUUUCUCUUAAACAUGGAUGUUCCCAGAAGAAAUACAGGAAUGGUAUGACAGCAUCCAGAAAAUGCAAAAAGAGAAACUCAACUAGUAGACUUCUGACUAGUAGAACUUCUGGCCAAAAUUAACUCAGCGGGUGAAUUUAACACUCCUCUGUGGCAGAAUGUAGCAAACUGUAAAAGCCUUGACUCCAGGCAGAAGCAAAGGAGGACCUAUAGCUGAUGAUGCUGGUAAAGUUACCAGGCAGGGCCAUCCAGAGCCCUCAGAGAAGAACUGUAGCCUCCAGUGAUCCCCAGAGAGGCAUCAAGCUGACCUUCAGGGCACUGACCCAACACAACACUUGGUUCCUGAAAUCCACUCAGUGAGACAACCAAAGACAACCACAGACAUCCAGACAAAUGCAGACAACACAAGCUAACUUGAGCAGUCAUUCAGAAAAUGAAAGGCUCAUCAUGUAUCUAAUGUGAUGCUUCAUA